AUUGACUGCUGGCGGCAGGCUUAUCACAUGUAAUUCGAGCGAGCGGCGGACGGGUGAGUAAUGACUGGCAAACUUCCUGAUGGAGGGGGAUAACUACUGGUAACGGUAUCUAAUACCGCAUACCAUCAGAUGUGCCUAGAGGGGAUUAGCUAGUAGGUGGGGUAAUGGCUCACCUAGGCGACGAUCCCUAGCUGGUCUGAGAGGAUGACCAGCCACACGGGAACUGAGACACGGUCCAGACUCCUACGGGAGGCGGCAGUGGGGAAUAUUGAACAAUGGGCGCAAGCCUGAUGAAGCGAUGGCGCGUGUGUGAAGAGGGACUUCGGGUUGUAAAGCACUUUCGGCGAGGAGGCGUUACUCGCAGAAGAAGCACCGGCUAACUCCGUGCCAGCAGCCGCGGUAAUAC
rnacentral:rRNA from 1 species